UUAGAGUUUGAUCCUGGCUCAGAGUGAACGCUGGCGGUAGGCCUAACACAUGCAAGUCGAACGGCAGCACAGAGGAGCUUGCUCCUUGGGUGGCGAGUGGCGGACGGGUGAGGAAUACAUCGGAAUCUACUUUUUCGUGGGGGAUAACGUAGGGAAACUUACGCUAAUACCGCAUACGACCUACGGGUGAAAGCAGGGGAUCUUCGGACCUUGCGCGAUUGAAUGAGCCGAUGUCGGAUUAGCUAGUUGGCGGGGUAAAGGCCCACCAAGGCGACGAUCCGUAGCUGGUCUGAGAGGAUGAUCAGCCACACUGGAACUGAGACACGGUCCAGACUCCUACGGGAGGCAGCAGUGGGGAAUAUUGGACAAUGGGCGCAAGCCUGAUCCAGCCAUACCGCGUGGGUGAAGAAGGCCUUCGGGUUGUAAAGCCCUUUUGUUGGGAAAGAAAUCCAGCCGGCUAAUACCUGGUUGGGAUGACGGUACCCAAAGAAUAAGCACCGGCUAACUUCGUGCCAGCAGCCGCGGUAAUACGAAGGGUGCAAGCGUUACUCGGAAUUACUGGGCGUAAAGCGUGCGUAGGUGGUUAUUUAAGUCCGUUGUGAAAGCCCUGGGCUCAACCUGGGAACUGCAGUGGAUACUGGAUGACUAGAGUGUGGUAUAGGGUAGCGGAAU
rnacentral:rRNA from 1 species